GACAACGAAGAAAACCCAUCUUCAGUCCCCAACCACGAAAUGGUGGGGGGUGGGGAGGACUGGAAAAGGAGUAAGGGGAGAGGAAGGGUGAGCAGCUGCAAGAAGUCUUCUCACCUCCCUGCGGUUCCUGGUAAACGCGCUCAUGUCCUGGGUAUGGAAGGGACUUAAGAGUUCAGGAAAGAUAAAAGUAACAGGCUGCUUCCCCACUCCCUCGCCCUCCCUUCCCCGCUGCUGGGUUAGGGAGGCUCCAUGGAGCUCCAGCACCCUAGAAGGAUCCGGUGAGGCGCGAGGCCUCGCGGGCGGAUGAACCCGUGGCGGGGUGGAAGGCGCCAACCUGCCCAAUUUGAGCCUGAGGCCUGCUGAGAAGCGUGGGGGCCUUGGGAUAGUUCCCGAAUGAGGAUGUGCGUUUCUAGCUUCUUUGCGCCCUCCUCUCCCAAAAAUCUGCUACCACAAUUCCACCCUGGAGGCGCGUCCCCAAGACUCCUUUGUCGCCCCAGGGGCGGGACCUGAGCUGUCGAUUUCAGGGGCCCUUCGUGACUCCAAAAGUCCUGGGCGCUGUCGCUCAUGAGUGCUGCACAACUGUCGCCCUCCAAAGCCACCUCCAUCCCUCACUGGGCUGGCCUCCUGAGCCUUCGGUGAGGACAUGGGGUUGCGAGUUGCCCGCCUGGGAGCUUUCCUGACUGGAAAAGGGCUAAUUCGCUAACUUUCUGUUCAAAUCACUUGAGCUAAUUAUUUGACCUGAAACAUGGGCAGGUAAAGGACCAUUGGCGGGCGUGGGGAGGGAGGCAUGGAAUCUUUCCCACACUUUUUGUCACCUUUCAACAAAAGCCACAACACACCCAAAUGCCUCUGGUCUGAAUGGGCUGGCUAGAAUUGGGCUUCCCGGGACCAGGAGUGGGCCCCUAGAAGUUUCCCAGUUUGGGGUGGGGCCGGGGUUCCGGAGUCCAGAGCUGGGAGUCGGGUUCAGCGGCCCGAGACGCUGGCUCUCCCAGACUCCCUUGCGCCGGGGCAGUGCGCGGGGGCGGCUCGGGUCCCUCCCGGGCCGACGGGGACCCUCAGGCUCCCGGGGCGCCGCCCACCAGCCCGACCCGGCGGAGACUCUCAGGCCUGGAAGCCCCCAUUCUGCUCCCGCCCCGCUCCGGCCGGCCAGCGCAGGGCCCCUCAGGCCCGCGAUCUCCAGGCUCAAACGGCGAACAGAAGGAAGCCCGGUGCCAGCCAGCCUUCCUGAAAAGACCAAGCCCGCGCCAUCCGGCUUCCUCCAGUGGACGCCUGCAGGACCCAGGAACACUACAUCAACACUCUUGGCGGGGAUCUGGACAAGAAGACUCCUGUUUCAAGAAAAUACAAUCAUCUCUCAAAGGCUGUAA
rnacentral:lncRNA from 1 species